rnacentral:lncRNA from 1 species
CGAGCCUUCAGGCACAAUGGACUUUUGGAAGACACCCAAGCCACACACAAAGCAUAGCACAGGGAAGGUGCAAGCUCUCUUGGUCCUGGUGUUCUCAUCUGUACAGUAAUCUCCAUGACUCCUCCAUGUCCCUCCACUGGGGAGCACCAAGUGAAAGGAGGGAGAAGGCUGGGAACUGCCAAGUGGAAAGUGCGAGUCAAACAUGAGGUGCAUAUGAGGCUCAAGACGGACCCACCAUUUCCGGCUGGCCCUGCCUACUGUCCUGACUCCAAGGAGCACCUGGGAACUCCCCCAAAUCACCAACAUCCUGGGGAAAAGGAGCACAGACCAUCAAUGGCCAUUGGAAAGGUGACAAAUGGAGACCUUUACUCAGAAGCAGGAGAGAAGCAGGUUGUCCAAAGUACUGAAUGCAUCUCCCCGAUCAAAUUCUUGGUUAUAUUCAAAUACUCCACACUAUGUACAAAAAUCCAUUCUGUUGCUUCAAAACAAAUCAUGAACAUCUGGGCCUUGGUUGUAAUUUCAAAUAAAAAGUUAGCAAAUUUAAAUAUCAGCACAGGGACUUUCAACUUCAUGAAUGUUGCAUUCAAAAUGAAGGCCUUUGGCAAUUGGGUUUGGAGAGUUUCAGCCUGCAGGAUGCACAUUCCCAGAGGCAGCUGUGAACAAGUGGGAGCCACUGGGUGACACCCAGGUUCGAGCACACCAUCACAUUCUUGGGGAACACUGCUAACGCACGAUCAAAAAGGCUGAAGACGGUUUGUGUAGGCAGUAUGGGUGGCCCUUUAUAGGAUGUAGGAAAUGGUGUGUGCUUGAAUAUCAAGUGUACAGGAAACCAGGUAAGGGGAAGAUACCUGCAGUGCUGAAGACAAUAAGUGCCAUACUUAUCACUUUACUGGGAUAAAAACUUAAAAUAAUUAAAAAUAAAACUGGAGUGCCAAGAAGCCCACAGCCCACUGCGUUCUUGCGGCACACUGGAGUGACACUACUGCUCUCUUUGCCAAAAGCUUCUUAUUUCCAAGGAAGCCCGUUUUAUAGACACACAUCAGAACAUCUUCUUUUACCUUUUGACAAAAUGAAACUGCAUCCUUGGGAGUUUCCCACCCAUUGCUCUCUUGGCUACUUCACUCCAGUACUAUUUCAUUACUUAUUGAUUUUUCAACGCCUCUCUGCAUGGCUGUAAUUUACAC